rnacentral:rRNA from 1 species
AUUGAACGCUGGCGGCAGGCUUAACACAUGCAAGUCGAGCGGAGAGAGGUAGCUUGCUACUGAUCUUAGCGGCGGACGGGUGAGUAAUGCUUAGGAAUCUGCCUAUUAGUGGGGGACAACAUUUCGAAAGGAAUGCUAAUACCGCAUACGUCCUACGGGAGAAAGCAGGGGAUCUUCGGACCUUGCGCUAAUAGAUGAGCCUAAGUCGGAUUAGCUAGUUGGUGGGGUAAAGGCCUACCAAGGCGACGAUCUGUAGCGGGUCUGAGAGGAUGAUCCGCCACACUGGGACUGAGACACGGCCCAGACUCCUACGGGAGGCAGCAGUGGGGAAUAUUGGACAAUGGGCGCAAGCCUGAUCCAGCCAUGCCGCGUGUGUGAAGAAGGCCUUAUGGUUGUAAAGCACUUUAGGCGAGGAGGAGGCUACUUUAGUUAAUACCUAGAGAUAGUGGACGUUACUCGCAGAAUAAGCACCGGCUAACUCUGUG